UGAAUUUCAUUGAUGGGAAGAGUACAUCAGGAUCCACGUUCUCCAGAGAGUUGGCGUUUGGUGCAAGCCAAUGAACAGGAUUUGAUGGAAGAUCAUCCCUGAGAAGCGAAGCAGAACCUUGAGCAACGUGAUGUUGGAAGUUGUUGACUAGUAAGCUAAGCCGGUCUUUCCACCGUUAACAGGAACUUGUCUUUGGUGUUAGGAAUAGCCCAUGACAUGACGAAGGUGCCAUUCGCAAUCAUACGAUGAUGAAUCGUAGGUAACGGAUGGAACAAGGGUGGUAACGCGAGUGAACCUCGUCCCUUUU
rnacentral:ncRNA from 1 species